GACGAACGCUGGCGGCGCGCCUAACACAUGCAAGUCGAACGGAGCUGAGAGAAGCUUGCUUUUCUUAGCUUAGUGGCGAACGGGUGAGUAACGCGUGAGUAACCUGCCCUGGAGUGGGGGACAACAGUUGGAAACGACUGCUAAUACCGCAUAAGCCCACGGCCCGGCAUCGGGCUGCGGGAAAAGGAUUUAUUCGCUUCAGGAUGGACUCGCGUCCAAUUAGCUAGUUGGUGAGGUAACGGCCCACCAAGGCGACGAUUGGUAGCCGGACUGAGAGGUUGAACAGCCACAUUGGGACUGAGACACGGCCCAGACUCCUACGGGAGGCAGCAGUGGGGGAUAUUGCACAAUGGGGGAAACCCUGAUGCAGCGACGCCGCGUGGAGGAAGAAGGUUUUCGGAUUGUAAACUCCUGUCGUUAGGGACGAUAAUGACGGUACCUAACAAGAAAGCACCGGCUAACUACGUGCCAGCAGCCGCGGUAAAACGUAGGGUGCAAGCGUUGUCCGGAAUUACUGGGUGUAAAGGGAGCGCAGGCGGACCGGCAAGUUGGAAGUGAAAACUAUGGGCUCAACCCAUAAAUUGCUUUCAAAACUGCUGGCCUUGAGUAGUGCAGAGGUAGGUGGAAUUCCCGGUGUAGCGGUGGAAUGCGUAGAUAUCGGGAGGAACACCAGUGGCGAAGGCGACCUACUGGGCACCAACUGACGCUGAGGCUCGAAAGCAUGGGUAGCAAACAGGAUUAGAUACCCUGGUAGUCCAUGCCGUAAACGAUGAUUACUAGGUGUUGGAGGAUUGACCCCUUCAGUGCCGCAGUUAACACAAUAAGUAAUCCACCUGGGGAGUACGACCGCAAGGUUGAAACUCAAAGGAAUUGACGGGGGCCCGCACAAGCAGUGGAGUAUGUGGUUUAAUUCGAAGCAACGCGAAGAACCUUACCAGGUCUUGACAUCCGAUGCAUAGUGCAGAGAUGCAUGAAGUCCUUCGGGACAUCGAGACAGGUGGUGCAUGGUUGUCGUCAGCUCGUGUCGUGAGAUGUUGGGUUAAGUCCCGCAACGAGCGCAACCCUUAUUGCCAGUUACUACGAAAGAGGACUCUGGCGAGACUGCCGUUGACAAAACGGAGGAAGGUGGGGAUGACGUCAAAUCAUCAUGCCCUUUAUGACCUGGGCUACACACGUACUACAAUGGCGUUUAACAAAGAGAAGCAAGACCGCGAGGUGGAGCAAAAACUCAAAAACAACGUCUCAGUUCAGAUUGCAGGCUGCAACUCGCCUGCAUGAAGUUCGGAAUUGCUAGUAAUCGCGGAUCAGCAUGCCGCGGUGAAUACGUUCCCGGGCUUU
rnacentral:rRNA from 1 species